AUGCUCACUUUGGCAGCACAUAUACUAAAAUUGGAAGGAUAUGGAGAAGAUUAGCCUGGCCCCUGUGCAAGGAUGACACACAACUUCAUCAAGCACUCCAUAUUUUU